AUACAUUUAGCUCAGAUGGUUAGAGCACGGCGCUGAUGAUGCCAAGGUUGCAGGUUCCUGCAGCUGCAUAUUCCUGCAUUGCAGG